UGACUGGGAUAGCUCAGUCAGUAGAGCAUGAGACACUUAAUCUCAGGUUCUGGGUUCAAACCCCACGUUGGGCAA